GACGAACGCUGGCGGCGUGCCUAAUACAUGCAAGUCGAGCGCAGGAAAUCGACGGAACCCUUCGGGGGGAAGUCGACGGAAUGAGCGGCGGACGGGUGAGUAACACGUAAAGAACCUGCCCUCAGGUCUGGGAUAACCACGAGAAAUCGGGGCUAAUACCGGAUGGGUCAUCGGACCGCAUGGUCCGAGGAUGAAAGGCGCUCCGGCGUCGCCGGGGGAUGGCUUUGCGGUGCAUUAGCUAGUUGGUGGGGUAAUGGCCAACCAAGGCGACGAUGCAUAGCCGACCUGAGAGGGUGAUCGGCCACACUGGGACUGAGACACGGCCCAGACUCCUACGGGAGGCAGCGGUAGGGAAUCUUCCACAAUGGACGAAAGUCUGAUGGAGCAACGCCGCGUGAACGAUGAAGGCCUUCGGGUCGUAAAGUUCUGUUGUAAGGGAAGAACAAGUGCCGCAGGCAAUGGCGGCACCUUGACGGUACCUUGCGAGAAAGCCACGGCUAACUACGUGCCAGCAGCCGCAGUAACAC
rnacentral:rRNA from 1 species